CCUACGGGUGGCAGCAGUGAGGAAUAUUGGUCAAUGGGCGGGAGCCUGAACCAGCCAAGCCGCGUGAAGGAAGAAGGCGCCAGGCGUCGUAAACUUCUUUUGUCGGGGAACAAAGGGCGCCACGUGUGGCGUUGUGAGUGUACCCGAAGAAAAAGCAUCGGCUAACUCCGUGCCAGCAGCCGCGGUAAUACGGAGGAUGCGAGCGUUGUCCGGAAUUACUGGGCGUAAAGGGCGCGUAGGUGGGCGCUUAAGUCAGGUGUGAAAACUCCGGGCUCAACCUGGAGACUGCACUUGAAACUGGGUGUCUUGAGGGCAGGAGAGGAAAGUGGAAUUCCUAGUGUAGCGGUGAAAUGCGUAGAUAUUAGGAGGAACACCAGUGGCGAAGGCGACUUUCUGGACUGUACCUGACGCUGAGGCGCGAAAGCGUGGGUAGCGAACGGGAUUAGAUACCCCUGUAGUC
rnacentral:rRNA from 1 species